CUUAAGUUUUCUCUCCAAAAUCCUCUCUAGUUGGUCGACCACCCUUACAGCUUUCCUCUUAAUUUUUUUUCACAAAUCCUUACUCAAACUCUCAAUCUCUCAUCUCCUUCCUUCUAUACACCUAGUUCUAAGCCACUUGGUCUUUGUUUGAAGCUAAGGAAGCCUAUCAAAGAUAGAACAUCUAACGGUUGAUCAAAGGAAUAGAAGUGCUAGAGGUCAAAGUUCAAUCAAAAGGUCUACAAGAGGUAAGGACAAGGAAAAGCUGAGGUUGUGAGAGUUGGAGUUUGCCUGCGAAAGUGUACAUGUGACCCGACCUUUGGGGAGUCUACACUUUCAAAAUGAUAAUUUUAAUUAUGCUUAAACUAUUUUGGUUUACUAUAAUGAUUUUAAGUUAUUAAUGUAAAUAUUUUUAGCGUGUGCACACAUUACGUUUUAAAAAAAAAAUUAUCCGAAUUUUUGAAACCUUUUCAAUGUAA